AGGCCACAGCCCAAAACUCAAGGGACUUGGCGGUGCUUUAUACCCUUCUAGAGGAGCCUGUUCUAUAAUCGAUAAACCCCGAUAAACCUCACCAGUCCUUGCUAAUGCAGUCUAUAUACCGCCAUCUUCAGCGAACCCUAAAAAGGAACAGAAGUAAGCAUAACCACAACACGUAAAAACGUUAGGUCAAGGUGUAACCCAUGGAAUGGGAAGAAAUGGGCUACAUUUUCUGUCUUAAGAA
rnacentral:rRNA from 2 species